rnacentral:rRNA from 1 species
UACGAAGGGGGCUAGCGUUGUUCGGAAUCACUGGGCGUAAAGGGCGCGUAGGCGGCCGAUCAAGUCGGGGGUGAAAGCCUGUGGCUCAACCACAGAAUUGCCUUCGAUACUGGUUGGCUUGAGACCGGAAGAGGUAAGUGGAACUGCGAGUGUAGAGGUGAAAUUCGUAGAUAUUCGCAAGAACACCAGUGGCGAAGGCGGCUUACUGGUCCGGUACUGACGCUGAGGCACGAAAGCGUGGGUAGCAAACAGG